rnacentral:rRNA from 1 species
GAUGAACGCUGGCGGCGUGCCUAAUACAUGCAAGUCGAGCGAAUGGAUUAAGAGCUUACUCUUAUGAAGUUAGCGGCGGACGGGUGAGUAACACGUGGGUAACCUGCCCAUAAGACUGGGAUAACUCCGGGAAACCGGGGCUAAUACCGGAUAACAUUUUGAACCGCAUGGUUCGAAAUUGAAAGGCGGCUUCGGCUGUCACUUAUGGAUGGACCCGCGUCGCAUUAGCUAGUUGGGGAGGUAACGGCGCACCAAGGCAACGAUGCGUAGCCGACCGGGGGGGGUGACCGGACACACUGGGACUGAAACACGGCCCAGACUCCUACGGGAGGCAGCAGUAGGGAAUCUUCCGCAAUGGACGAAAGUCUGACGGAGCAACGCCGCGUGAGUGAUGAAGGCUUUCGGGUCGUAAAACUCUGUUGUUAGGGAAGAACAAGUGCUAGUUGAAUAAGCUGGCACCUUGACGGUACCUAACCAGAAAGCCACGGCUAACUACGUGCCAGCAGCCGCAGUAA